rnacentral:rRNA from 1 species
UGGGGAAUUUUGGACAAUGGGCGAAAGCCUGAUCCAGCAAUGCCGCGUGCGUGAAGAAGGCCUUCGGGUUGUAAAGCACUUUUGUCCGGAAAGAAAUCCUUGGCUCUAAUACAGUCGGGGGAUGACGGUACCGGAAGAAUAAGCACCGGCUAACUACGUGCCAGCAGCCGCGGUAAUACGUAGGGUGCAAGCGUUAAUCGGAAUUACUGGGCGUAAAGCGUGCGCAGGCGGUUUGCUAAGACCGAUGUGAAAUCCCCGGGCUCAACCUGGGAACUGCAUUGGUGACUGGCAGGCUAGAGUAUGGCAGAGGGGGGUAGAAUUCCACGUGUAGCAGUGAAAUGCGUAGAGAUGUGGAGGAAUACCGAUGGCGAAGGCAGCCCCCUGGGCCAAUACUGACGCUCAUGCACGAAAGCGUGGGGAGCAAACAGGAUUAGAUACCCUGGUAGUCCACGCCCUAAACGAUGUCAACUAGUUGUUGGGGAUUCAUUUCCUUAGUAACGUAGCUAACGCGUGAAGUUGACCGCCUGGGGAGUACGGUCGCAAGAUUAAAACUUAAAUGAAUUGACGGGGUCAUAGCUG